rnacentral:rRNA from 1 species
CCUACGGGAGGCAGCAGUGGGGAAUAUUGCACAAUGGGGGAAACCCUGAUGCAGCGACGCCGCGUGAGCGAUGAAGUAUUUCGGUAUGUAAAGCUCUAUCAGCAGGGAAGAAAAUGACGGUACCUGACUAAGAAGCCCCGGCUAACUACGUGCCAGCAGCCGCGGUAAUACGUAGGGGGCAAGCGUUAUCCGGAUUUACUGGGUGUAAAGGGAGCGUAGACGGUCCUACAAGCCAGAUGUGAAAGCCAGGGGCUCAACCCCGGGACUGCAUUUGGAACUGUAAGGCUAGAGUGUCGGAGAGGCAGGCGGAAUUCCUAGUGUAGCGGUGAAAUGCGUAGAUAUUAGGAGGAACAUCAGUGGCGAAGGCGGCCGCCUGGCACAAAACUGACGCUGAGGUGCGAAAGCGUGGGUAGCAAACAGGAUUAGAUACCCGUGUAGUC